UUUUCAUUGAUUUUUGGUUUUUUUUAAUUUCUAUAUUAUAAACAUAAAAUAAUAAGUAAUGAGCACUUUCUACUCAAGCAAUAAAAAAAUCCCAAAUAUAUUAAUCCUGCAUUCAGCAAAGUGGCAUAAAAACCACCUGGUCCUUCAGGUUGGAAGGAAUGUCUUUAUUUGGAGGCAUGUCGGCUCAUUUUUCUCACUUCAGAUCAUCAUUAUGACUUCUUGAGGCCUGAUCUAAUUUUGAAGUAACCAGGAACUUGUCCAUCAUAGAGCAGCAAAUCCUUCAACUUUGGAGCACAAAAGAUCACUGAUAUGGUCUGCAUAAAAUCAUCUGCCUCUAGUUUGACAGCCAUGAGCAGAGCCCUGGGGGCCAAAAAAAAAAAAAAAAAAAAGCCACAGCCUUAAAUCUCUUCACUCUGAAAUUACUAAGAAGAUUUUAAAAAUAAAUGAAAGAAAAAGACUAAACGAGCAAGCCAACAAUAUCAACAACAACAACAAAAACAAACAAAAUCCAUUUUAUUUCACCUUGGAAACGAUAUUCCCAGAUAUGAUCCCAAGAAAAUUUAUAUUCAGCAAUUAAGCUAGAAAAUUGAUUUAUCACAUGGGAAGGUGAAUAUAUAGAGAUAGGACUUAUCUCUAGCCAGAUUUAUUCAGCCUUUCAAAAUAUGUAGACAAAAAGAAAACUGAACAGAAGGGAAUGGCAGGAAUGAACAGCGUUAGGACACAAUGUUGCUGUUUGCAGGGAGGAUGUUUGCUGUCCUGUGCACACCCUCAAAGCCAUAAUGGAGUAAUAGCAUUGUUGUUGAUUGCUAGAAAAGUUUGUGCAUUCACUCCUUCACCCCAUAUUGGUUAAGGGGAGGGGGGGAGGCCAGUUCUUCCUGAUUACUUUUCAAUGCACUUCUAAUAUUUGCACUGUCACUUCCAUUCAGGGUAAUGAUGUGUGUUGUUAUUUGCACAGAUGGUCCCAUGAGUUUUGAGGCCACAAGCAGUUACAUGCAAGAGUCGAGGAAGGAAACAUUUAAGAAUUCUCAGACAUUGCUUUCUCUUUCUUCUGUAUCUUCUAAAAUAUAGACCUCUCAGAUUUAAAAAUAGCUAUGGAAUAAUAAGGAAAGAACUUAAGUGUGGUCAAAUGAAUGAAGAAAGGAUCCAAAGUUUGUUUUAGUGAAGAUCAUUUUAUAUCAUUAACAGCCAAGAAGUCAGAUACAGUGAACUGUACACCACACAUUUGUGUUGAACAUUUAUUUGUUCUCUUAAUUAAAUAAAUCAUUUGUAAUUUGUAUUUGACAUAUAACAGUUUUUUAUAGCCAUUUAUCUAUUUAUGCUUCAUGGGAAAAUGUACUAAACAGCAUUUUCAGUUUAUUUUUCUAAAUAAAUGUGUUGUUUGUAUUAUUUGUAGUUGCUUAUUCAAUUCGAUUUUCAUUGCCUGGAAAAUAAGUUUCCUGUGGUUAAUUGGAAAGCUUUUGUCAUAUUAACUCAAAACAAAUGAAAGACUGAAUUUUAAAAUAUUAAUAUGGUAAAAAAUUGUGCUAUUUCCUAAGCUCCGAAGAAGAAAUGAUUUUUCAUCAUGACUUUCUUGUCAAGGGUUAUGUUAAUAUUCUAGUUAUACUAACUAUCCAGAGUUACUUUUAAUAUAUGUAGACAUUGCUGGAAACCAGAAAGUUUGGGUACUAUAUCAGUAAGGAUUUUCCCUAAGUUCUUUUUCUAGACAUCUGCUCCAGAAGAAGAUGAAAAUUAGACUGAUUUUUUAAAAAGACCACUAUCAUGCCUAAGGAAUUUUCAAUAAGGCCCCCCAGAGGUCUGCUCGGAAUUUUCAUCACUGCAUAUACAAAUAACUGACUAGGCAACCAUACUCGGUUCCCUUCUGACUGGAUCACCGUGCACGGGGUUGGGGUUUACAGAGGUUGGGUCGCAGUCUCUUUUCUCUACUUGGAUGUAGGCUUCUCUCCUUAGCCUGGUAAGGAAGACUUGCCUAAUUCUUAGGUUUUGUCAGAGAAAGUUGUUCCAUAGGUGGCUUCAGAUUCAGUAUGUCUGUGAGAAGGGGUGAGCCUGGGAUCCUCCUCUGUUACCAUCUCAAACUGGAACUCCCAACAACCUAAAAUAAAUUAUUUUUGAUAAUUAAAAGAAUAGGUCAUUAGUUUUAUGUCCAAACUAUGAUCCGAAACCAGCUUCUAUUUUGUUCUGCACACUUAAAUUGAUUUACUGUCUGCAGUCUCUCUUGGUAGUCCUCAAAGUAUCCUGUAACAUAAUCAAGAAAAUUAGUUUGUCACGCAUGAUUUCAGCCCCUGAAAAUUAAGAUGUUGUACAUGAAAAUAAUCCAGCUGGGAAUCAAACUGCCAGUUCCUGUGAGAUAUUGGGCAUUGAAGUAUGGAUGCCUGGUCUCAUUCAAAUUCUUUUAAAAUUCAUGCUGAUUGCCUCAAGCCGUGAAUUAUUUUAAACCAUAAAUAGGAAAAUCAACUUUCCCCAAACUUCUUAAGAGUAAAAUCCAUCAAGAAUAAAUGAUAAAAACAAUUAUAAGUCUUUAUUUUUUGAGUAUACUCAACUGUAAGCAGUGCUUUAUCUGCUGAAGUCUGUGGUGAGCCCGUAAAGGAUUUUCAAAAGUUGUGACAUUAUCAAACUUUCUUUGGGGGCAAGAUAGCUCCACUGGUAGUUUACAGAGUGAAUUAGACUGAGGCUGGGCAGUUGAAGGGUGGAGAUGUACAGAUCAGGAAAAAAAAAUGUCUAAUUUUCUUUGAAUUAAGUUUAUUCUCUUCAACUUUAAUUACAUUUAUCUUCAUUAUUUCACUUAUCUAUCACUUUCUCUUCUUUUGUUCUCUUCAAAUUUUAAACUUAUCCUUUGCUGUUUUCACAAUUCACUAUUAUUUCACAAAAUCUAUUAAACAAUCUUCAGUCCCCAUUGAGAAUUAAUGCUUACAGAUUUUUAGACUGUAGAAAGCCAUUGUAGGUAAUCUCCACUUUCCUGACUUUGCUUUUUAAGUGUUGCUUUGUUGAUUUAUAUGCUGCUCCAACUGUUCUAGUUGUCCCCAAUUCACAUAAUUACCAGGUGUAUCUACAUGGAUAAGAUGAUUGUCUUUAUUUAUUGCCUGCCCGUUUAUUGCCCUGCAACAUGAAUUGUGCUGGGCACCAGGAAGAAACAGGUCCUAUUUUGAUGCAGUUUAAAAUCUAGAAGACUGGAGAGAGAAAUAUAUUAAACAUGUGAUUUCACUAGUUAACAACAACAAAAAAUUGUGACUUUGUGCUAAUUUCUGCGAAGAAAGGUACAGAUUGGGCUGAGACCAUACAUCCACUAGAUGUAACUCAUUGGGGAAAGUAAAUUUUGAGCUGAGAUCUGAAGCUGAAGCAUAGGUGACUACUAUGUCAUGUGCAAAGCAUGCAGAGGGGAAAGAAAAUAGGAUGUCAGAAGACCUGAAAACAAGGCUAAUUAUAUUGGAGUAAAGAGAGUAAAGAAAAUAGCGCAGAGAAAACAGGUAUAUUGGCACUAUAUCUGAUUGAAUGAAAACCUCAAGAAAAAGGGGAGAGGGUUGGGACACCUGGGUGGCUUAGUGGUUGAGCCAUCUGCCCUUGGCUUAGGUUGUGGUCUUGGGGUCCUGGGAUCGAGUCCUGCAUCAGACUCCAUACAGGGAGUCCGCUUCUCCCUCUGCCUAUGUCUCAACCUCUCUCUCUCUCUCUCUCUGUCUCUCGAAUAAAUAAAUAAAAUCUUGGGAUCCCUGGGUGGUGCAGCGGUUUAGCACCUGCCUUUGGCCCAGGGCGCGAUCCUGGAGACCCGGGAUCGGAUCCCACGUCGGGCUCCCAUUGCAUGGAGCCUGCUUCUCUCUCUCUGCCUGUAUCUCUGCCUCUCUCUGUCUCUCUCUAUCUCUCUGUGUGACUAUCAUAAAUAAAAAUUUAAAAAAAACAUCUUAAAAAAAGAAGGGUAGAGGGUUAAAAAGACGUUGAAAAGAGCAGAAGUAUAAAGAGAAAAUUAAGAAUGGCAUUGGGAGCAUUUUUAACUUAUAGAUGGUUUACUUCUUAAUGAAGAUGCAAAAAAAUGCAUUUACUAGCUAUCUUUAAAUUCAUAAA
rnacentral:lncRNA from 1 species